rnacentral:lncRNA from 1 species
GGGCCACUAGAGGAUCUUUCCGACCUCUCUUCUUUCCAGGGGUCUUCUUUCCUUCUACCUGCUUGCGCACCACACAGGCUUCUUCUAUUUGGAUGUACUUUCAGACUCGGACCAACAGAUCAGCAUAAUCCCUUGAAAAGUUAUUAUCGAGGGAAAAGAUGAGGAGCUCGUUUCGUAAUCCUCACUUGAGCACCGACAUUAUCACUGACUCAUUGAAGUUAUACACCUCAAGCAUGGUAGCAUUGAAUCAUGUGACAAAGUCAUGCAGUGACUCACCCUCCUCCUACUAGAGAGAGAAGAGGCUAUCAAAAUUUUUUGCUUGAGCUCGACUGCUGCCA